rnacentral:lncRNA from 1 species
UCAUCCUCACACUCAUCCAGGAUUGACAUCCAUGCUGUCGUGAUGCUCGACUGGCGGAGAUGCAGAGGCAGGCUAUUGAGGAUCGAUAGUGGACUGAGCAAUGAGCUGAUGAGUUGGCUGUAUGUAUCGAUGAGUACCAGCUGCUCUAGACCCAGAUGGAGAGGAUGAUGCAGAUGGAGUGGAUGAUGCAGCUGAUGAGAUGGCAAC